CUUGCCUGGUAACCAACCAACGCUAACAACAACACGGUGCAAAUUAAAUUACAUUCUCCAGAACGACACGAAAAUAACGAAUAAUAAUUAAAAAAAAUACUUCGCAUAAUGGGGAAAUGGUCAGGAAUAAUGACCGAAACUGAAGAACGGUAAGCAUCAUCCAUCCAUAACACAACCCUGAAGAACGGUGGCUCACUCUGGAUGAUGGGUCCCUGAACAUCAUCUAACCCCAACCCUACUAUGGAUAGCGAGGUAGGCCGGCAAUGUUUUUCUAAAUACAUUUUGUAUUACGUUUGAAAAUGCAAGUGGGCAAACAGGAAAAAAAAAUUACUUGGCACAUUACUUUAUAUGAGGCAUUAUCAAAUGAUGCUUCCAAUAUAUUUUGAAUGGGUCUAUUCUCUCUCCCUUCUGUAUGAAGUAAUGUCCACUCUGCUCUUCUUUAAACCUUCUUCUUUUGGCUCAGGUGUUGUAGCCUGUCACACUGAGUAAGACAUCUGUCAUUCCCUUUGUCUUCUGCAUGCCGUCCGUCAUUGCUUGUGUUACAGAGAGUCCUUCUGUAUUACAGACAUGCCUAUCUUUGCUUGAAUAAUCAAUGUUGCAUGUAACACAAUCCUGGCUGAACACAUUAUGGCCAAGACUUCCCCUGUUCACUGAUGGCUGCUGUGUAUGCGGUUACAUGGUUGAUUAAUAGCAUCCAUCCAGCACAAUACAUGAGAGUAAGGUAACCAAAGCACUACACAUCUGCUGGACCUUCUCAUACGGAGCCUGCAAAGCCUCAAGCCUCUUAUGGGGCAGUGGGCCAAGGGCCGAAAUUUCGUUUAAUUUUUCUAAUUCGCCAUUCUUAUGUGCAAAUGUAGCUUUAAUUAUAAUUACUGUUUUAGCGAUAAUGCAGGAGGGCUAGAUCAAUUAGGUUUAAAUAGCAUCCAGGAAUGGUGCAUCGAUGAGAAUGCAAGGAAUGAGGAGGACGAGGAGACGUAGCUUGCUUAAGACUAUUAUGUUCAGCCUUGUUUAUUUAAAUACUCGGUAAUGUCUUUCAGUUUCUAUAAAACAACAGUAAAAUAAAAACACCUUUAUUUCUAUGAAGCAUAGUAAAUAAAUUACUACAGGCUAAACAACAUAUACAGUUAUGCAAAUAAAUCAAACAGAGCUGCAAUCACAACACAGAAAAAAGUCAUACACAAAACAUACACUCAGAUACCCAGGAGCAGUCGUGUAGAGUUUGUUUAUUUUGCCUGAGUAUCUGAGCAUACACCCCGUGCAUGACUUCCCUCUGUACCACGACCACAGCUCUGCUUGAUCUACCCAUAAAAAUAAAGGAAACAAAGUAACAGGCACUUACAUUGUCACAAACUUAAUACCCUGAGUAUUAACUAAGCUGCCUAAUCUGUGGAUGGCACAAGCCUUUUGGCCUCUGCAGUCCACUCGCCGUCAGGAAACAUGCAAUGAAGCAGCUGUUGUGCUCUCUUGUGCCGAUGCCGUUUUGCAUAUGGUUAAAACUGACCGCUUGUAUGAUGUCAACAUGCUUGCAAUCUUUUGGCUUUGCGUUGGCAUGGUCCGGUAAAGAAAAGCAAUACUUAUCGGUCCAUUCAGUUUUAAACUGGCGGUUCUCCUGGUUGACCUUCCUUUUCUUGGCAAAUGGCAUGUUUCUUUCAUCAAUUUUCAAUCCGUAGAUUUUUGACAAAGUUGUAAUAACCUGGGAUGACAGACGGAUAGUGGGAAAGUGACAGCAUGCGGCGGCUACUCUCUGGCGUGUGACGCUAGUGAAGGUGAAAACGCACGAAGCACGUCGUUACGUAUGCACGCAGUAAAGUCAACGUUCAAGUGGAUGGUGUGGGCUGAGGGGAAAAUAUAGCAGGUCGCGCAAAGAAAAAAAAAAAGUUUUUUUUUUUUUUUUUUUGGAGACAACAUGUGCAUGCG
ensembl:lncRNA